UGGGGAAUAUUGGACAAUGGGGGAAACCCUGAUCCAGCGAUGCCGCGUGUGUGAAGAAGGCCUGCGGGUUGUAAAGCACUUUCAGUUGGGAAGAUAGUUUGUAGGGGAAUAUCCUGCAGAUGAGACGUUACUAACAAAAGAAGCACCGGCUAACUCUGUGCCAGCAGCCGCGGUAAUACAGAGGGUGCGAGCGUUAAUCGGAAUUACUGGGCGUAAAGCGUGCGCAGGCGGCUUUGCAAGACAGAUGUGAAAUCCCCGGGCUCAACCUGGGAACUGCAUUUGUGACUGCAAGGCUAGAGUACGGUAGAGGGGGAUGGAAUUCCGCGUGUAGCAGUGAAAUGCGUAGAUAUGCGGAGGAACACCGAUGGCGAAGGCAAUCCCCUGGACCUGUACUGACGCUGAGGUGCGAAAGCGUGGGGAGCAAACAGGAUUAGAUACCCGCGUAGUCCCUGAGCGGGCUGGCAAGGCGCAU
rnacentral:rRNA from 1 species